rnacentral:rRNA from 1 species
UUUAGAGNAAGUAAAAGUCGUACAAGGUCUCCGUAGGUGAACCUGCGGAGGGAUCAUUACACAACAAAAUAUGAAGGCCCUGGCUUCGCGGCCGGCUGAAAUAUUUUUUCACCCAUGUCUUUUGCGCACUUGUUGUUUCCUGGGCGGGUUUGCCCGCCACCAGGACCAAACCAUAAACCUUUUUUUUUAUGCAGUUACCAUCAGCGUCAGUAAAAACAAUGUAAUUAAUUACAACUUUCAACAACGGAUCUCUUGGUUCUGGCAUCGAUGAAGAACGCAGCGAAAUGCGAUACGUAGUGUGAAUUGCAGAAUUCAGUGAAUCAUCGAAUCUUUGAACGCACAUUGCGCCCUUUGGUAUUCCAAAGGGCAUGCCUGUUCGAGCGUCAUUUGUACCUUCAAGCUUUGCUUGGUGUUGGGCGUUUUUGUCUCCCUCUUUCUGGGAGACUCGCCUUAAAACGAUUGGCAGCCGGCCUACUGGUUUCGGAGCGCAGCACAUAAUUUGCGCUUUGUAUCAGGAGAAAAGGACGGUAAUCCAUCAAGACU